rnacentral:piRNA from 1 species
UAGCUGCUGCAGAGCGAGCUCACUC